CUACGGGUGGCAGCAGUGAGGAAUAUUGCACAAUGGGGGGAACCCUGAUGCAGCAACGCCGCGUGGAGGAUGACGCAUUUCGGUGUGUAAACUCCUUUUAUAUGUCAAGAAAAUGACGGUAGCAUAUGAAUAAGCACCGGCUAACUCCGUGCCAGCAGCCGCGGUAAUACGGAGGGUGCAAGCGUUACUCGGAAUCACUGGGCGUAAAGGACGCGUAGGCGGGUUGGAAAGUCAGGUGUGAAAUCCCACAGCUUAACUGUAGAACUGCACUUGAAACUUCUAAUCUAGAGUAUGGGAGGGGGAGAUGGAAUUAGUGGUGUAGGGGUAAAAUCCGUAGAUAUCACUAGGAAUACCUAAAGCGGAGGCGAUCUCCUGGAACAUUACUGACGCUAAGGCGUGAAAGCGUGGGGAGCAAACAGGAUUAGAUACCCCCGUAGUC
rnacentral:rRNA from 1 species